GGGGCCCAAAUGCCCAGGAGUACUGAGAGAUUGGAGGGGGCAUUGCUUCCUCCAGGAAGGUGUUGCAUCCAGAAGACUUCACGUGAUCAAGUUCCAAGCCCACAGACCCGCCAGGGCUUUGGUAGGCUGGUGUGAAGAUAUGAAGCACCUGGGCACUGAGCCUCAGUGGAAGUGGCUGCAGGGCCAGAUCUUCUGAGAGCAUUUCUCUGAGGACGAGGAGGUGUUGCUAGCAAUGAAGUAUUGGCAGCAGGUGUCCCCGCUUAUUCUCCAUAUCCCACAGG
rnacentral:lncRNA from 1 species